UUUUUUUUUUUCACUGCAGUUCACUUCGCUCCACUUCACCUACACGGUCCAAAGACAAAGAAAUUGAAGAAGAAAGAGAGACAAAGGGUGAAAUGGCUUGGUGUAGUUUAAGAUCAAUCCAUGUUCCAACCAUCGAUGUGGGCGUACUACGCACUCGCCCUCCAUUAGCGGCAGCUGUUGGAGUUGUUGCUGGCUCUUCCUUGUGGCGAUCUUCCUCGAGAAAAGCCUCUCCUUUUGCUUGCUUAAGCCUUUCCACUUCUCCUGGGAUAAAGGAGGCUGUGGCAACUGAUAAAGCUCCAGCAGCAUUGGGACCGUACUCUCAGGCCAUCAAGGCCAAUAAUCUUCUCUUUGUCUCUGGUGUUCUUGGCCUUAUUCCAGAGACUAGAAAGUUCAUUUCAGACAGUGUAGAGGAUCAGACAGAGCAGUUACUUAAAAAUAUGGGAGAAAUACUGAAAGCUAGUGGUGCUGACUAUUCUUGUGUUGUUAAGACAACAAUUAUGCUGGCCGACUUGAAAGACUUCAAGAAAGUAAAUGAGAUCUAUGCCAAAUACUUUCCUUCACCUGCUCCAGCUCGUUCAACAUAUCAGGUAGCAGCAUUGCCGUUGGAUGCCAAGAUUGAAAUCGAAUGCAUUGCUGCACUCAAGGCAUGAUGAAAGGGAGUUUGUGCAGAAAAAGUCGAAGUUAUUAAGGAGGAAAAUGAGCUUUUAGAUUAUAGUCUUUUCGACUUUGAAUUUGGCUGUCAUUUCUAAUUUCUUUGGUGAACUUGUUUAAGACUCGAAAAGAGAAAAGGGUAGUUAAGAUGCAGCUAUCUAAUUGCAAUUAGUGAUCCCAUUUGGCAUCUAGAAACCAGCAAUUCAUGUAGCAGCUACAGAGAUGAAUACGAUCGAAUACCGUGUAUACUAUCACCUCUACUGCUCAGAUUUUCUUCAGUGCAAUGCCUGGUUGAUAAACCUCCAUAAC